rnacentral:rRNA from 1 species
UACGAAGGGGGCUAGCGUUGCUCGGAAUUACUGGGCGUAAAGGGCGCGUAGGCGGCGCAACAAGUCACUUGUGAAAUCUCCGGGCUUAACCCGGAGCGGUCAAGUGAUACUGUCGUGCUAGAGUGCGGAAGGGGCUACUGGAAUUCUCGGUGUAGCGGUGAAAUGCGUAGAUAUCGAGAGGAACACCUGCGGCGAAGGCGGGUAGCUGGGCCGACACUGACGCUGAUGCGCGAAAGCCAGGGGAGCGAACGGG